AAUCAACGCUGGCGGCGUGCCUAACACAUGCAAGUCGAACGCGAAAAGGGCUUCGGCUCUUAGUAGAGUGGCAAACGGGUGAGUAACACGUGGGUGACCUACCUUCGAAUGGGGGAUAACGUCCCGAAAGGGACGCUAAUACCGCAUAACAUCCUGCCUUUGAACAGGUGGAGAUCAAAGCCGGGGAUCGCAAGACCUGGCGUUUGAAGAGGGGCCCGCGUCUGAUUAGCUAGUUGGGAGGUAACGGACUCACCAAGGCGACGAUCAGUAUCCGGCCUGAGAGGGCGGACGGACACACUGGGACUGAGACACGGCCCAGACUCCUACGGGAGGCAGCAGUGGGGAAUUGUUCGCAAUGGGCGCAAGCCUGACGACGCAACGCCGCGUGAGGGAUGAAGGUCUUCGGAUUGUAAACUCCUGUUGCCCGGGACGAAAAGCUUCGACCUAAUACGUCGGAGUCU
rnacentral:rRNA from 1 species